rnacentral:lncRNA from 1 species
GAACUUUUAUUUCAGCUCAUGAAACAUUGGACCAACAAUUUACAUGUUUGUUUAUACUUUUUUUCAGUAUAGAAACAAUUAGUAGACUGCAAAUUGACUGUAGUCAUCCGGAACAACAGGGCUUUCACGCAAGACUCAGUGUUUUAUUCCUUCUCCGUCAUUUAGCUCGUUUGGGAGUUCUGCAUCACUGGGCAUCUCACGGCUGGAUUUUCCUGUGUAGUCUGUUAUCAUCUGCAAACCCUGGCACAUACGACGAGCGUCGGAGCCAGUAUAAUAGGCUUCCACCUUCCUCCUAUAUUGUCCUUUUGCAUGUUCGAUGUCUCAUUGGAGGUCAUAGCGGGUUUAUUUAUAUGGGUCCAUGUCCGUGUCCGUGCCUUGUACUUGGUAGCUCUAGCCUUUAACCCAGCAUGGAUUUUCCCCGUAAUCCGUGGUUUUUGGUUUGGAUACCUUCAUAUAGUCACUGUGGGGACGACGUAGUCUAUGCACUUAUUGAUGAAGCCUGUGACCAAUGUGGACGGUGUAGUUUCGUGAUAAUGAUCAAGAGCAGCUGCUUACUGAAUUGACAGAUCCAGCACAGUUCCACCUCAGACACCGCCAAAACAUCAGCUACUAUCUGCCACCCCCAGCAGUUCAGCUGCAGUCACAGCAGUCCUCUGCUGUGGCAUUUCA